ACUAGAUUUGAUAGUUCGAGUUAU
rnacentral:snRNA from 1 species